rfam:Ictidomys tridecemlineatus contig056267, whole genome shotgun sequence.
GGGGAUGUGGCUCAGUGGUAGGGCACUCGCCCAGCAGGUGAGAGGCACUGGGUUUGAUUCUCAACACCACCG